rnacentral:rRNA from 1 species
UUGAACGCUGGCGGCAUGCUUUACCCAUGCAAGUCGAACGGUAACAGGCCGCAAGGUGCUGACGAGUGGCGAACGGGUGAGUAAUGCAUCGGAACGUGCCCAGUCGUGGGGGAUAACUACUCGAAAGAGUAGCUAAUACCGCAUACGAUCUAUGGAUGAAAGCGGGGGACCGUAAGGCCUCGCGCGAUUGGUGCGGCCGAUGUCAGAUUAGGUAGUUGGUGGGGUAAAGGCUCACCAAGCCAACGAUCUGUAGCUGGUCUGAGAGGACGACCAGCCACACUGGGACUGAGACACGGCCCAGACUCCUACGGGAGGCAGCAGUGGGGAAUUUUGGACAAUGGGCGCAAGCCUGAUCCAGCAAUGCCGCGUGCAGGAAGAAGGCCUUCGGGUUGUAAACUGCUUUUGUACGGAACGAAACGGCUCUGGUUAAUACCCGGGGCUAAUGACGGUACCGGAAGAAUAAGCACCGGCUAACUACGUG